UUUCAGCACAAUGUUGAAAAGCAGCGCUGAGAGGGGAUAUCUUUGUCUUGUUCCUGAUCUUGGAAGAUUAACGAGCAAGAAUUGAAAUCAUUCACGAAGAGAAGCUUUGGACUAAAACCCAUCUGCCAGAUAAGCCAAUAAAUGUCCCUCUCAUCAAGUGAUUGGGACUGGGAUGGAGCUGGAAUUUGGCCCUAAUGUUGCAUGUGUAAAAGCCUUGAAAGAAAUCAGAAGAGAUUCUGAGGAGGUAGCUAAGGAAUCCCAGAUCACCUAAGAGUUUGGAAAGAAGAAAGAGGGCAUGGCACACCCAGGGGAAUGACGCCUCUGCACCCCAGCCUGGCCUCACAAGCACUGUAGUGGUUAUAUACGAGGCUCUGGGGGCUUUCUGCUGGAAUCCUCCUCCUGCUCUGCCAUGACCAGUUGUGAUUCUGGGCAAUUUACUUAGUCUCUGUCAGCCUUCCCCAUCCACUGGAGGAGAGAUAGUUUUAACUCAUGUCACUGUGAUAACUGCACUGAUGACAUCAGGUAUUUGACACAAAGUAAGCAUUCAAUAAACAUGCCUUUUUUUUGUUGUGGUAAAAUAGACAUAAUAAAAUUUAUAAUUUUGGCCAUUUUUAAGGGUAUGGUUCAGUGGCAUUAAGUACAUUCACAUUGCUGUGCAACCAUCACUACCCUCCAUCUCCAGAACAUUUUCAUCAUCUCCAACUGAAACUUUAUUCUUUUUUUCAAUCCAUUAGCUGGAUUUAGUCACGUUUAUAAAUUUCUUUAUAUGGUGUCUAACACGUUAACUAUAACAUCAGGAAACACAGGAUCCCAUUUUAGCUUUUGGAUUUUAUUUUUGAGCAAUUUAUUUGUAGGGAUUGAUAUUACAUUGCUUUUACUUUUUCUUAGAGGUCUUCCAAAUAACAAGAGAAAAUUUACUAUUUAAAAAAUAGAAUAAAAGUCAAUCUUGCAAUUUUUGUAAAUCCAAGC
rnacentral:lncRNA from 1 species